rnacentral:misc_RNA from 1 species
GAUGAAGAACGUAGCGAAAUGCGAUAAGUAGUGUGAAUUGCAGAAUUCCGUGAAUCAUCGAAUCUUUGAACGCACAUUGCGCCUUCUGGUAUUCCGGAAGGCAUGCCUGUUCGAGAGUCAUUAACAACCGUUUCGAUCCCUUUCUUUCAGAAAUUACAAAGAGGAAAGGGGUUUGGUUAUGGUGGAGGAGGGAAAGGGAGCGUUUAGCCUGUAAAAAAAGAGGCUGUGUUCCGCCUCCGCCCCAAAAUUGUACAGGCGGUCGUGUGCGCCCACGCAUAGAGGUGUUGUAAAAGCUGCCACGGCACUUUUCACCUGUGCAGUGCGAGAUUGGCCAGCCGGUUUAAAAACCCCUCCAAACAAUCAAAGGUUGACCUCGGAUCAGGUAGGGAUACCCGCUGAACUUAAGCAUAUCAAUAAGCGGAGGA